AUGAAGGAGCGAUAUGAGGCUGAGCUGAGCAAGAAGGAUAGCCAAACCGCUGAUCUGCAAGAGAACAUCAAAACCCAGCAAGCUAAAGCCUCCAAAGCGAAGGAAGAGUUGACCCGCGCUCUAGGCGCUAUGGAGAAACUGAAAGAGGGCUUCAACAAAGAGCGGGCAGAUUGGGAGACUGAAAAAGCCACUUUGAUAAAAAGGGCUGAAAACGCAGAAGCCGCUCUUAAACCGGUGGUUGACGAGCUGACUGGUGUAAAGCGGCAAGUGCAUGCUAUGACCGCUGCUGUGUUUGGAACUCGCAUUAGCCAUCUGGGCUCUGAUGUACAGAAGAAGUUGAAAGCUGCCUAUACGCUGAUAGAGCAACUGUAUACCGGCGCACAACGGAUUAUCUGCACCGCUUCUCACAAUAAGCCACCCCCGACGUUGAUGAAGGAUACCUUAGACAUGCUAUCUAUGCUGCCUGCCCGGGUAGAAGAGCUAAAGAGGUCUGCUGCAAGGGUUGGCGCUCUGACCGCACUAACCCGGGCAAAAGCAUGGGUGCCUGACCUUGAUCUGACGAACGUGGCUAAAGGCUACCCAAGCUUAAAAGAAGACGGAUCAGAAUUUGGCACUGAAGAUCUCCGCGCCAUAAACCGGGAAGUACGUCCACUGGCUUGUCAACUUGCUGAAGAGGCUGAUCUUUCAUUUUACCAGGCGAGUUAUGAUACCAAUAACAAGCGGGUUGCUGCACCAACUCCUGAGGCUCAAAACCUGAUUCCUUCAAUCCGUAAGCACACUUAUGCCCCUAAUAUUGAACCGUCAACCCUUAUAAGCGAUGAAGCUGUGUUUCAAGCUUUAACUGGGAUCGACUGGACAACUGUUGACUUCCAGCCGCUGGGUAGAGACGAAGAAGAUGAACUGGUGCAAGCUGAUCCGCAGCCGUCAGGUCAAGCUGAUAAGCAAUCAUAA
rnacentral:rRNA from 1 species